ACCCCAUUUCUUCAUUCCCCCUCUAUCAAAAACCCCCAAAUCGCUGCUCCCUUGCCGCCGCCCUCCCUAACCCUAACCCUAACGCCAGCCAUGUUGCGCCUCUCUUCAUCACUCCUCCCCGUGCUCGCUCCGCCGCCGCCCUCUCGCGGUCCUACGGCCUGAUCCCGAUGGUGAUCGCGCACACCUCCCAGAGCGAGAGCGCCUACGACAUCUUCGCCCAACUCCUGAAGGAGCGCGUGGUCUGCAUCAACGUCCCCAUCUUUGACGACACGACCGCCAUCGUCGUGGCCCAGCUCCUCUUCCUCGAGUCGGAGAACCCUCCAAGCCCCUCUUCAUAAUAGCGCUUGAUUUCCUUUGAACCAUAACCCUAAUUCCCUAUGAAGAAAUUCCCAAUUUCUUCCAGGUUACCUCAAAACCCAUACCCUAACUACUGAAAUCCCUAGAUAUCAACAAAAACCCCAUCAGAAACAAAACCCUAGUGCUGUUAUCUGUUCCGACCUCGUCGGCGCCGGAGAUUAUUAAGAUGGGAAGAAAGAUCGGAUUGAACCGCGAGAUCCUGAUCAAAGUCACCCAAACCCCUGAUGGUGUGCUUAUUUAUGGAGAGCUAAGUGGGUCAGCGAGACGAGAGCUUAUGAUUUGAAAGAUGGAAGCAUUCUGUUCCGUGAGCUCAGGGAUUUCUUGCUACGCCGUAAACUUUUGUGUUGGAGGAGAUGUAUAUGCAUUUUGGUUCUCAAUUUUGCGAAGAACUGC